AGUGCAACUGCCUGUGCUGAGUUUUUCAAAGCUCAGAGCAGAUUGAACUUUUGUGGUUUCAUUUUCCCUGAUUUUGAUUUUUCUCAUGUGGAACCUGUGUUGCUGCAUUCAAGGCCUCUAAUACCAGCAUUUUGGGAGGCCAAGGCAAGAGGAUCACAAGGUGAGCAGAUCAAGACCUACCUGGCCAACAGAAUGAAAACCUGUCUCUACUAAACAAAAAAACUUAGCCAGAACUUUAAGUAUGCACUUUCAGUACCAGAAUGAAUGCAUCUUUGUGAAGAUACCAUUUAUGUACCAUAACAUCCAAAGCAUAAUGAGGAGAUUUUGAUACGCUGAAGAUUUAGAACUGAGUUGGAAAACAAAACUUCAACAUACUGUCUUGUCAGCACAAAGCAAAUAAAUUCAUCACUGUUCUGUGCAGUACUGAAGAGCAACUUCAGCUCUUGAGUUACAGCUCAAUGCAACCUCCUGGCAGGCCAGCCUUAAGCCCAGCAGUCCAACCAUGCAUCUAAGCUGAGUUCUCGUCAGAGCCAACUUCAAUUAUAAACAACUGAGAUGAUGCCAGAGGCCAGAAUCCCUGAGAACCCAAUUUGCUGUCAUCACGAUGGCUGAAACAAGGUGACCUUCAUAAUGCAGGCAAUAGAGAAUUGCAAGAUUUGUCAGAGAUUUCAGGUCUUUGGAAAGCUAUGCUCUUUCACAAGAACAGCCAUGGAAACAGGAAGAAAGUCAAUUCCCACUUAAGCUUGUAUCAACUCUAGAAUUUAUUGGGCACCUCCUAGGACAUAAACACUGGAAUUUGGUGAGAGACGUCAAAUAGGAAAGAACCUGGCUCUGACAUAAAUUCAACACACGGAGGGGGACACAUGUUAUGAGACUGAUCUGGCCUCUUCAUCUCAUAAAAGGGGUUCUUGUUGCUGGUAACACAGAUUAAAACUAUUUCAAUUACAUUCAAGAUAAAAAGAUGAGCAAUGGUAUGUAAGAUGAAAAAAUCACCCCGCAGGAAGACAAAAGUCUCACAAAAGGAUAUUUAAGCUAGCCAACACUUUGAAAUUCAGGCAGAGAUCGUGCUUUCUGGGUGAACUAAAGUAGCAAGAACAAAGUAGAGGCUCCAAUUCUAGGAAAAAUGGGCCCUAAUAAGGUUUACAAUCCAGAAACUCAAGAUAUCCAGACAGAAGGAUGCAGUCUCCGCUUUCAAGGCAGCAGCAGUACCUGGAUUACUAAGCCAAUCCCCAACACAAUCAUAAACACAAAUUUGAUUGAGGAAGAAGCUUGCCCACCAGAAGAUUUAGGUUAUUACAAGGUAGAAUGUGAUAGAGAAAAUGAGCAUGGGACUGGAAACAAAAGGAGGUAGCCCCAUGAUUACAACUGGAAUAUAUCUGUCAGCGAUGGUGCGGAAAUAAGACUGAAGAGAGAGAUCCUUAAACCCCACGUGGCUUACAUCAGGACUAAUCCUGGACACAGGCUGGAAAGCAUAGCCUACAGGUGGUGAGGGAGGAGGAGUGGGCUUAGCUGUGAGGAGGAGAAGGAAAUAUGGCUGAAAACCAGAUAGGGGUCUUGAAAUCACACAGAGGAUUUGGGCCUUUGCUGCUGUCUGCCAGCAGCUGCCAGUAGUUCUCACACUUUGGCUGGCAACAAAAUCACCUGGGGCAGUGGUGCGGAAGCGGGGGGAGUGUUGUAAAACCACAAGUGACCAGGCAAAAAACACCUGUAUGUUUUCCAAUUCAGUAAGUACAGAAAUAUUAAUUGGAAAAAGGUGGACGUCAGACAUUGAUAGUGCUGUGGACUGCUCCAGGGACAUAAGCAUGAUCUUUAGAGAGGCGACUCUAAUCAGUUGAGGGCAACCACUGGACAGAAAGAGGUCCAGACCAACCGUGCACAGAGACAUCAUACAACUACACUUUAGCAACCUCUCCAAGUAACAUGUCUCUUAGUGAAACUUGGGAGGGUGAAAGUUAAAAACAUAAAAUCCAGUGGCAUUUAUGUAUCCUAGGCACUUACAUUUGUCUGAUUCUUCCAACUUGCCUUUGCUUGGUUAGAGUUUUGGGUAGAUAAGAGGUGGAUUUACAUGUGCUAGUGUGAGAACUUUGAUACACUCAUUUAGACAUUGACCUACUAUCUUGAUGUUUGAAAGCUAAAACCCAAAGAAAUUUGUCUUUUUACGUAAAACAAAUUCAGCCCUUGCCUUCCUUGUAGAUUACAUCUUCCACUAGCAGUAAUAAAAAAGUAACAAUAUGCAUAAGUCAAAGUGUCUUCUUAGAUUCUCUGUAGUGUUUUAUUAUUUAGUUGUGUUAAUUAAAGUAACUGUCUCAAAAUUUCAAGGAAUGCCAGAGAAGCAAUUCCUGUUCAAAGGCUGCCCUCUUGUGACAAUGUGUUGUAUGCUUUACUGUAAAGUAACCUUAUUUUACCUUAUAACCUCUACAAUCCAAUUCAUAACAGCAUAAAAAGGAAAAAAACCUUACAUAAUUUUGAAUUUU